rnacentral:rRNA from 1 species
UCGAGAAUCUUCCGCAAUGGGCGAAAGCCUGACGGAGCGAUGUCGCGUGAGGGAUGAAGGCCUUCGGGUUGUAAACCUCUGUCGCCCGGGACGAAAUAAAUGACGGUACCGGGAGAGGAAGCUACGGCUAACUACGUGCCAGCAGCCGCGGUAAUACGUAGGUAGCAAGCGUUAUUCGGAUUUACUGGGCGUAAAGGGUCUGCAGGGGGCCUGCCAAGUCUGGCGUGAAAUUCCAAGGCUCAACCUUGGAACUGCGUUGGAUACUGGCGGGCUAGAGUGCAUGAGGGGAGAACAGAAUACCUGGUGUAGCGGUGGAAUGCGCAGAUAUCAGGUGGAACACCGACGGCGAAGGCGGUUCUCUGGCAUGCAACUGACCCUGAGGGACGAAAGCGUGGGGAGCAAACA